rnacentral:lncRNA from 1 species
GUAUCUACACAGCUUUCAUCCCACGGCCUGCAUGUAAGAGGCUCUUACAGGGCCCCAGAGCUCCAUUGACAUCUCAAUGAUCUACUUGCUGCAUCAAGAAAAGGAAAAAAUGGAAUGGCAGCUUUAAUACUGUGAACAAAGUUUCAGAAAUGAAAAGCUUAUAUUUCCAUGGAUGCAAGGUAUGACAUGACCAGCCUUUUUUCUGCUGUGACCUCUGCCAUGCUGUACUUGCCUUGGAGCCAACCAAUCAUGGUCUACAAACGGUCCCAGCCUGAAAGUCACAGUACCCUCAGUGAACGUUUGCCAGACACAACGAGGACUUCUUUCCUGAAGCACCUGUGUGUGCUUCUCGACCCAGGCGUGCUGCAGGCCAGAAGUGCCAGACUAUGAGCAGCUGUAAGAGUGAUGGUCAUCCACUGAGAGCAGAAUUGGUAGAUAAGUAUGCCUGCUUCCUUGCUCCUUGUUGGCUCAUUUCUGAGGUGUGUCCUACAGAGUCUCCCAGAGAGUUCCCAGGGGACUGAGGCCCCACAGUGAUGAAAGCAUCAAUACACCCUUUAUCAGCUCUUCUUCUCUGUCUACUUCUUCAGACCUUCACUAUUAUUCCUGGGAUCACCUUCCAUAGGAGCUUAGAUAUACAAGAUGACCAAGAAAUAUGGUAAUUGUUUAAAUAUGAUAUAUUACAGUAAAAGAUAUAUUGCUGUCAACCACCUUCAAAAUACUCCCCCUGGCUUCAAACACACUUAUUCCGUAGGUAUUGCUACUUUCUGAAGCAGUUUUGAGAGUCCUCUUUCAUGUCUUUAUGAGAUGUGAUCAAGAAUAUGGUGAAUGCUGUGUUCCAUUGAAAAGAAAGGCAGGCUUGUAAAAACAUUACGGUGGUGUCCUCAUUCACUUAAAUCACUGGAUCUGGUAUUGUGUGCAACUUCUGGUUCUUCCCCAAGUCAUGAUCAUGAAAGGUCAAGGUUUUGAGUCAAUUCAGGACACAGAGGCAGCUAAAGAUGCAAAACAAGACUCCCAGAAUUGCUUCAGGAAGUAGUAAGAACAAUUGGAUAACAAUUUUUGAGUAUUUUGAGAGGGAUCAAUGGCAAUAUGUCUUUUAUUAUAAUACAUUUUAAAAAAUGUUUAACAUUCACCGUAUUUUUGACUACACCUUGUAUAUCCAAAACCUUGUCUCAAAUUUGCUCUAGGGGGGUCCAAAUUAAGAUUACAUUUAAACAUUGCCAAUUUCUUAUCUUUAUAGUAUUUUUUCUUCCUUCCUUCCUUCCUUUUUUUAUAUCAAGUUUGGUGGCUAAAAUCUUAGCAACCAGGCAUGGGUUUAAAUCCUGGCUUCCCCUGUAAUUAGCUGUGUAACUUGGGGCAAGGAUUU